rnacentral:rRNA from 1 species
CCUACGGGAGGCAGCAGUAGGGAAUAUUGCUCAAUGGGGGAAACCCUGAAGCAGCAACGCCGCGUGGAGGAUGAAGGUUUUCGGAUUGUAAACUCCUUUUGUUAGAGAAGAUAAUGACGGUAUCUAACGAAUAAGCACCGGCUGACUCCGUGCCAGCAGCCGCGGUAAUACGGAGGGUUCAAGCGUUACUCGGAAUCACUGGGCGUAAAGAGCGCGUAGGCGGGAUAGCAAGUCAGAUGUGAAAUCCUAUGGCUUAACCAUAGAACUGCAUUUGAAACUGUUAUUCUAGAGCGUGGGAGAGGUAGGUGGAAUGCUUGGUGUAGGGGUAAAAUCCGUAGAGAUCAAGAGGAAUACUCAUUGCGAAGGCGACCUGCUAGAACAUAUCUGACGCUGAUGCGCGAAAGCGUGGGGAGCAAACAGGAUUAGAUACCCGAGUAGUC